rnacentral:lncRNA from 13 species
AGAUAAAUUUAAACAGCAUUAUACAGAUACAUCUUCUAUUAUCUAAACUGAAAAUAAGUAGAAAUUUUACUUUAUGUGAUUAUUUUCCUAUUUAAGCAAACAUCAAGUUGUGUCUAGUCACCGUAAAUACUAAAUGCCACAUUUUUGUAAGUGAUAUAUUAUUCUCAUGAUAAUGUCUCUUGUUUAACUGAAACUUUUUUUUCUUUUACUUAUUUUAGAUGGAGCUGGACUGUGUAGAACAAAUAGAGAAAGAGACCUGUUGCUGUGAUGGACACUUGCUCCCGUCUACUUCCUUAUCUAUUAUCCACUAGUUAACCACAUCUAAUGAAGAGAAUAUCUAAACCAUAAAAUCUUAAGGUAAAAUAUUAUGAUUUAAAAGAUCAUAAAACUUUAUUACUGGGCUAUUUACAUGAUAUUUUAAUUGUUUCUCAUAAAAUAUAUAACAUCAUAAUCUUUGUUAAAGUAGAAUAUUUUCAUAUCACAUGUAUGAUGCAAAUUUACAUGGUAUUUUAAAUGAAGUUUUUUAGCCUCUUAAAGUUUUAAGUGGAUCCUACAAAUGAAAACCAUGUGAGUUUGACAUACUCAAAUUGCCCAAAUGUCAGCCAUUUAAACAGCCAAACAAGCAAGUCAUCAUUGAUACUUUAGUAAAGGUCAUUGAAGGCUUAUUGCAUUU